GGACCAAUAGCCUUCACCCAUCUCCUCUGUAGGUAAGUAGCCGGUCAUCAACGAAGUAAGACUCGAAACAAAAUAUUCGAUAUUGAUCUAAUUUUAUUUAGAAUUUAAAUACUCAUCAUACAACUUUGGUUUAUUUUGUUCAACGGUCCUAUGGUACUGAAAUUUGGAUUUCAGGGGCAAAAUAAUGAUAUGCUCUAUCAAUCUGUUAUCCAAUAUAACCAAAUUACGCUUUUCUGACAUCAAGGACUACUGCCUACUCUCGUAAAAGCAAAGUGGCUCAACAACAGCGUAGACACCAAUGCCUUCCUAGAAGAAUCACGUCCUUUUUUCACCAACGGUAGUUAAAAAAGAGCACUAGCCAGUCGGAGCAAUCUAGUUAGUUUUUGGGAAAAAGGGAAAGAAAUUCAUGGGAUACGGUAGGUCAAUAAUACGUAUUAAAAAAACAGUGGUGUGACAGAAAAUGAACGGGUGGAAAAUAACAGAGCAGGAACCCUUGAAUGAGUGGAGGGUUAGUGUUGGAGGUACGUACCUAAGGAUCGGAUGCCAGUUCAAACACUUCCACAGUUCCACUAUGCACUAUUCAUCCACCGUGCAGGUUAAUUACAUCCCGAAUUCACGACACCAGUAAUGGACGUACAAUAAUGUGUAUAAAACUCUCAGCAGGGUGGGAGGCAGCAAUGGUUUAGGUUCCAUUGAGAGCUUACCCGCCCAUUGUAUCUACAAUACCAAUGCCCUAGUUGCAAGGGAAACAAAUACUUGCCAAUUUAAUUCCCCUAGCUCCCCGCUCAGCAGAACACUGGUGUGACUUGAUUGGUUGACCUUUGAACUGAAAAUAGAAGGCUCCAAAUGAGGCAAAAUCAAAUGAAAAACUAGAUUCAAUCUCUGCACCGUUUCAGGACAAAAGGUUUCUAAUUACCCAAAGAAAACUAUCUUACAUGCCUAAAUAAUCAUCCGCUACAGCAUGUACAUCCUUAGAUCUAUCCCCCUCCUAACAUAAGGCUGCUUGCUUUGCUGACUUCCAAAUUUUGCUGCAACUGUUUCCCAAAAAGAAGGCAGUUGUAUAUACACUAGAAGUAAAUAGUACAGGGAAGAGAACAUAACAGUUUUCCCCCAAUCUUUUGAGGUGGUGAUUGUGGUGGAGAAGAUGCGAAAAGAGGAUACCUAACGUUAUUUUUACAUCUUGUAUUAACAGACCUGUUAUUGAAGAGAAUCUUCCUGUGUAUCUUCAUCUUCAUCCAUGGCACAGUGUUUUUGAUCCUCAUCAGGUUGGUCACUACCCUCGGUUUCAUCAUCUGAAAUUGAUUUACCUUUGGCACAUUCUCGGUCAUGAUCAUCACUGUCAGUACAACCCUCACUAUCAGAGUUUGAGGUAGAACCCUGUUUUUCCCCCCCUCCAUCACAAUCAUUAUCCAUGGCACCAAACUGCUCCUUCAUUUCAGGAGCAACAAUUCCAAUCAUCUUACUUAAUGCAAUAAUUCCACUCAUCUUCGUUGGUGCCAAAUGUUGAUGACUGUGUCUCCCAGCUGCAGCUGCAGAAGUUGGUGUACUUUGACUCUCAGCCACCAGACCAUUAGAGUCAUGAAGCCCUGCACCACCUCUCUCAUCAUCGUCUCUACUUGUAGGAGAUUCAUUCUCACCAUGGACAGAAGGAGCAGUGCUGUGAGCCCAGCUCCCAGCAACUUCAGAAGCUAAAAGGUCAGCUGUUCUGAUUGUGCCUCCUGGUUCUGUAUCAUCCAUGGCUUUCUGAUUCUCAAGGGGAUUACCUGAUUGUGAGGUAUGUAAAGCAACCUGAGAAGUUGUCGGAACACGCUCAUCACUAUCAUGUACAUGGAUUUCAUCAUCAAGUUGCAUAGUGUCCCCGGCUAAUGAGCCACACUUGUUCAUAUCAACAUCCCGAUCACCAUCUAUUCCAGGGCUUUCUGUUUCCAGAACUCGCUCCGUUCCAAUUGCAUUUCCUUCCAGGACAGGUGCCGAACCAACACCAUCAAUCUCAGAACCAAAGCCACCAUUAGCAUGACGAUUGGCACUUGUGAAUUCUUCCUCCUGCGUAUUUUCACCUUCUCCUUGACUUCUGAUAUCGCACUCAUGCUUUUCAGUGACACUUGCUUCACCUGAAGAAACAGCCUGAUUUCUAUCAAAUCUCUGAGCUGAACUAGCAGAGCCAGCCUUUGCACCACUGUUGUUUUGAUACCCAUUCAUUUUUUUUUCUCUGACAAAGGAGCCGUUCAUGUUCUCAACAGGUAGAUUCAGGUCAAUAUCCACAGACGUGUUCUCAUAAUUUUCCUCAUCUUCCAAAGUCUUCUGCAUUGCCUUCAACUGUUCUUGCUGCUUGGCAAACAGUACUGAUAUUUCUUCAGUUGUGGAAUAAAAUGCCCGUAGCUGUGUCUCCCUAAGCAUUAUUCUUUCCCUAGCACCUUUUAGCCUCCGUCUCUCAAAUUCAAGAUCCCGCACUGUGGCAUUUAUCUCAAGUUCAAGGGCAGAAACUUUAGCCCAUGCUUCUUCUCGCGCUGCCUGCUACCGACAGCAAAGGAAACCUCAGCUUAAAAAUAAAUUAACUAUAGUAAGAUGCCAACAAUAACUUAUUUGUGAGAUGAUGAUAUGAAUGACUGUUUUUGGUAGAAUUCAGUAGCAAACAUAAACGUCAAUCAUUGCUUAAUUUGAAUACAUUGCCACAUCAACACUAAUUCCAUCCCUUCCCCCAUUCCCUCUCUCUUAAUAAUUAUAGUAUCACAAUGGUAGAAAUAGCCUAUGUACCUCAACAUAGGAUGGAAAAACUACACAUCAAACCAUUAUAUUAGUGAAAGGUAAACUUACAACCGCGAAUGAUGUGAAGUACCAAAACUAACAUCAUACGGACUUUUGGAACUGAAACAGAAAAUGUACUCGCCCUUAGGAAGGGGUUGAGAGUCACAGAUGAUGUCAUAUAUGGAAACACUUCAGACAUCCAUAAGAAAUCAUUAUUGACAUUUUAAGAAAUUGAAGAGAAUUCUCAUAUAUACCUUUUCCCUGUCAAGCUCUUUCCUCAAUUGUUUCAUUUCUUGCUCAAGUUCUUCAACCCUCUGCUCAUAGAACACAAUUGCAAAACAAAUAUCAGGAGCAUCUAUUCAAGAAAUGAUACAGAGCAAAGCAGAACAAGGAAAACAAUCAGAUAGGACAACAUCAAAACAAACAUUAAAAGCAUUGUUACUUUUCUUCCACUUGCAGAGGCCAGUUGCUCUUCGACGACUUGAGCUUCUAGCUGGCGAACUUUAUUAUCAGAGAUAACCAACUUUUGCCUAGCUUCCUCCAAUUUGGGCCUCAAGGUUUCGACUUGUGAACACCAUUUCUUCUCCUUUUCCUGAAGCUUAUUAAUUUCCUCUUGCAGUUCUCUCUCACGUUGAGAGGCAGCAUCAGACUGUCGUUUAAUUUCCUCCUGUGCCUCAGACUGAACUCUCUGCAAUGCUGCCUUUAAAUCAGCAACAGCCUUUUGUCGUUCUUCUCUUCUCUGAUCUCGCUCUUCUUCUAAUUGUGUCUCGAGUUCAGAUAUAGAUACCUUGUGACUAAAAACAGAAAUUCCAGCCAUUGCCAUGUUUUAAACUUUUCUCUAACAAAAUUUGCAAAUAUCUAACAAAACAUGAUCCAAUUCCAUCUUGGAAAGAAUGACCUCUUAAUUAUUUCAUUUGCUUCAAUGCAUGACUGCCUGGAAGCAGCAAGUCUUUCAUUAAGGUCUUCCAAGGCAUGCUUUUGCUCAGCUGAUAUUCUGUUAACUUCCACCAUCUCUUUCUGUUUAACAUCUAACAUAUUUUGCAACUCCUUGAGUUGAUCAAGGUAUGAUUUUGUGACAGACUCCUUCAUCCCUUUCAACUCCAUGUUAUUUGAAAUAGGGUCACAGGAAGGGACUGAGGCACUCCUUUAGCAUUUAGCAUGAACUGGCAACUACUAUCAUGAUGUUCAAUAGUUGCUCGAUGUUCAUUGCGCAAUGUAUCAAUCGCAAGGACUUGACUUUCCAACUGCUUCCUCAAUUCCGUGUUUGAACGUUGAAGGCUUCGAAAAUCAUCAAGAGAUAUAGGACCCUCAGGAGCACCAAUCCCUAUACCUUUUAGUCUUUUGUUUUCUGAAACAAUCUCCUCUGAUUUUCUCUUUGCCACUGCACCUUCCAUCAAGGGAGUAGACCUAAGAACUUCUCGAUAUACAAAUGCAAAUGCAAGUUCAUGCUGAGGAGGAGCAGCAAAUGAUAUAAUAUCUCCAUGCUUGAGUUUCAACUCAGGGUUACUCUUAUUCAAUUUCUUCCAAUUAAGAAAUGUUCCAUUUGUACUUGUAUCUUUCAAGAAGACAGAUGUAUGAAAGUUAGAUGGAUGCUCCACAUCUUCAACAGUGAGAUUUUUCCGAUAUAUUUUGCAGUGUUUUCCACUUACUGCAGUUGACUCAAUUUGAAAACGCACAUCCUCCACCAAUCUGCCAAUGCAAUGCUCAUCCCCAGUCAAAAGCAUAUUGAUACCCUGGUGGCGCUUGCGGGCAUUGUUGGAAAUGGCAGUGAGAACACCCCAAACAUUGGGGUCCGGGUUAGUGAGAGGUUGAGAAGAUAUGUUAGAGGCCACUGAGAGGAUGAACUCCUUUGGGCUCAACGGCUUUGGCGACAUACCAUCGGGAUUUGGACGAGGUGUAGGAUGCGAGGUGCUUGACUGCGAGACUGGACUUGGACUCGGCUUGUUUGCUUGGUUCUCGUCUUCUAUAGUCAUGGAGGAGAGAGGAGAGAAUGCGUAAGAAAAUGGCGGGGAUUUUGAAACCCUAGUAGCUAGAGCCACUUAUAUUGCGUGCGAUGGGAAAGUGAGAUGGUGCCGCGUGCUGAGAGGUCGGAGGAACCAGGGAGGCUUCCAGGGGAAGAUUUGUGCUGCGGAA
rnacentral:misc_RNA from 1 species